AUGGCAUCACAACAUAACUCUACGACUCAAGUAUUUAUUCAUUAGGCUCCGAGGAGCGAGAUAUUACAAACAUGGGUCUCUCGACCCAGCAUUCAGAGCAUACAAGUCAAACACAUGCGGAAGCUUAACAUGUCUGAGUACAGACAACUAUAAAUGAAAAAGGCUAAGAAGCCUGACUAUCUACUAGAUCCUGCCGAGGGCACAAGAUUAUAGCUGAGGUAACAAGCUAAACGUCGAAGUCCACGCGGAACUACUAGCGAGACUGAAGUCUCUCUGCAAAACAUAAAAUAAGCAAACAUGAGUACAAAUGUACCCAGCAAGACUUACAUCAGAACUAUCUACAUAUGCAUCGGUAUCAACAAAGGGGGUGGUGGAGUUUAACUGCAGCAAGCCAGCUUUGACUCGGUGGCUAUCCUGAACUAUGACUGCAAGCAACUCUUUUGAGGUGGCGCACACGAGUCCACAUAUUCACCAUAUCAAUACACCACUAUGGAUCCGCUCCCGUCUCCCUACGAGAACGCCAUCCAUAGCACUCACGCUUAUCUUGCGCAUUUUAGAGUAUCCACUUUCACUUGUCUAUGAACUGUUAUAGGCAACCCAGAAGUCCUUUACCGCGGACACGGCUAUUCGAAUAGAUCAUAUUAACCCUGCAGGGGUGUACUUCGUCACACACGCUCUCGCCACUUACCACCAUGUACACGUCGUGUACCUCGGCAACCUUCAAGCGGAAGCCUGGCGAGGGAGUCGGCCACAGCCUACCUAAACACUCAAGUCUCUAGUCCAGGUUUAUCGCCUAUUCAGGUUCCAUCCGCAGGGAUUCCGGCCGAGGUUUCCACAUACGGCCCCGAACGAUGUGUGCAGGGUUCCCGAGACACCAAACGGGCGACUCGGUACACCGGGCCACGAGCCUACCGCAUCACAACCCACCCCUUGGUCAGCGCUGUCCACGGCCUCCAGCUUACUACAAACACCAUAAACUACUUGCAACUCCUGGACAGAGGACAAGGGUGAUUAAGAAGCCGAGAGGGUCCAUUGGUUUCGGGCCCAAUGCGUGGUAGUAACUGUAUCAUGGAUCACAAACACAGAACUCAGUUCCUGAGGACGGCUUCAAUGAGACAACCCACCAUGUACUCCUACAUGGCCUCUCACCGCUACCUUUACCAAAUCGUGUUCACACACUUAGCUCACACACAGUAGGACAUGUUCAUCACCAUUCCAAUUCAUCCCCGACGAACCAGACCCGACUCAACUCUAAGCAGUAGCAGGCAUGACAAACAAGCAUGAAUGGGUAGGCACAUCAGGGCUCAAACAACUCCUACUCAUGCUAGUGGGUUUCAUCUAUUUACUGUGGCAAUGACAGGUCAUGCAGAGGAAAAGGGGUUCAACUACCGCAACAUGUAACAAUUGAAUCGAUUGUCCUAAUGCAGUAGAAGAGAGCAGGAGCGAGAGAAUGGGAUUGUAUCGGAUUGAACAAGGGGGUUUUGCUUGCCUGGCACUUCUGAAGAUAUUAUAGUUCUUCAUCGGUGUCAUCGAUCACGUCAUCGGAGCAUCGGCUACUGAGAGGGGACGGUUACCGGCAAACAGAGAAGGACACAAUCAAUGCAAUGCGACAAUAUGAUGCAUGGUCAUGACAUGUCAAGAAUGUUAUGAUUUACACUAAUGCAUCUAGCAACAGUUUAAAUGAGGUCCAUAUGAACUAAGGGUUCAUAUGCAAACUCCAUAUUUAGCAUUUAUAAUGUCAUUAUCAUGUUUUCACCUAUACAGCAAGUAUAACUUAGUUUGACAUGCAUGAAAAUGAUACAGAUGGAUAGAUUGCAUUUUUCUGAUCAUUUUUCAUAUAUAAAUUAUUUCAUUCUGAGCUACGGUUGAUUUUAUAUGAUUUUUAGAAGUUUAUACUAUUUUCUGGAAUUUUCUGAAUAAUAAUAAAUCCAGGAAAUGAGUUAUUGCGUCAGCACUGCGUCACUGUGACGUCAGCAGGUCAACAGGGGCUGGUCCGGGUCAAACCUGACCCGUGGGACCCGCACGUCAGUGUGACAGGGCAAGAACGAGGCUGACCAGUGGGGCCAGGUCAACGGCCACGUCAGCGUAGUCAAACUGACACGUGGGGCCACUGGACUUGGAUUAAUUCUAACUUAUUUCGUUAGCUGGUUAAUUAAACAGGUGGGGCCCGACUGUCAGUGGGUCAGGGGGUGGUUACCUAGAUGGUUAGGCAGCUAAUGACGGGUUAACCGGCGACUACUCGCCGGCGCUAAGCAGUGCACGGCGGCGAUCGCCGGCCGGCCGUUUCCGGCAACGGCUGGUCGUGCGGGUGGGUUCGCUGGGACGCCCACAGUGUGGCGUGUCCAGUGGUGGUCGUUGCAGCCGCCGGCGUGGGGUCUAGCGACGGCAGCGACGAGCGGAGCGGCGGCCGUGUUGCGGUGGUGCUCGGCCAUGGGGCUGCGAGUUGCUAGCGACCCAACGGAGCGGCGGGGCAUCAUCAGUGUUACACCCGAAGCACGAUGGGCAGCGGUGCAAGGCGGAACGAGCUCGGCAUCAAGCAGAGCAUCGGCCAUGGCGGACGGCGGCGCUCGGUCGAAGGGGGCCACGGCUAGAGGAUGAAAACGAGAGGGAAAACAGCGGGAGAUGAUGCGGGGGCUCACGUUGAUCUCGCAGAGACGCUCAGAGUGCUCGGGGAGGUCCUGUACGCGACGAAAUCGACGGCGGCGAUCCACGGCAUCGAGGAAGAAGACGGCGUUGAAGGCCGCUCUACAGGGCGUCCGGGCUUGCGUGAGUCAUCGAGGAGGAAGAGGCUGUCGUGGCGGUCUUUCAGAGCACGGAGAGAGAUCGAGGGGGAGGCUGUGGCUACGGUGGUGCUCGUCGGCGGCGACGGCUGCGCUCGGCGCGGGUGAGAGGAAGGGGGGCAGAGGGGAGAGAGCCACGGGGAGGAGUGAGAGGGGUCCGAGGCGUC
rnacentral:lncRNA from 1 species